UGCCAUUAAUCUCCGUCUGUGGACCGUCUGACCGUCACCCUGGUUGCCUCCAUCCGUCCUCUCACCCGAAGGACUCCGAGCCGGACCUGAUGGAUCUGAUCUCUGGGUGUCAUCAGUAACGUUAGCGGGAUGAAAGCGACAUAGUGAUUAAGGGAGCAUCUCCUCCUCCUCCUCCUCCUCCUCUUCCUCGUCCUUCACUUUUGCACCAGCGGAGCUUGGCUUUCACUCUCCCACCGGCGGAGAUAUGAGGAAUCCAGUGGCCGAUGUAGCCCUGACAUUCUGGCUAUUUCUAGAGUGUGUAGAAGCCAAAAAGUACUGCUGGUAUUUUGAAGGCGGAUACCCCAUCUACUUCAUAUGUCGCUCCUAUGAGGACUGCUGUGGGACUCGCUGCUGUGUUAGAGCCCUGUCCAUCCAGAGACUAUGGUACUUCUGGGUGCUGCUGAUGAUGGGAGUAUUGUUCUGCUGCGGUGCUGGCUUCUUUGUCCGCAGAAGGAUGUAUCCGUCCCCUCUGAGAGACGAGCCAGCCUUCAACGUCUCCUUCACCAGGCACCCUGUCACCACACCAGUUUCCCAGCAGCCAGGGAGCAUGCAGGGCUUUGGGGUCAACGGAAUGACAGGUAACGACCCAGGGGUUACCAUGACACACCCGGCAUACCCGGCACAGCCUGGCUCCGCCCACAUGAUGAUGGGCCCCUACCCUCCACCUCCAUCCUACUGCAACCACCCGCCUCCGUCCUACGAACAAAUAUUUCAAAACAGCGACAAGAAGUAACAUCGGCAAGGAACUGAGGAGAUGGGACAUGACAAGGAACAAAGGGAAGGAAGGAGGCAGCAUUAUCAGAGAGUUCAGAUGAAGAUGAGGAGGAGGAGGAGGAACACCUACCAUUUGUUUACUUAACUGUUUGUUGAUGUAAGACUUGGGAAACACACAAUCUCCUGUCCUGUGGAAAAGACCAAAAGAGGCACAGUAACCAGAAUCUAGAUGCACAGACACUCAUUCACUCACACACACACACACACACACUGCUUCGUCCGCAGUGCUUCAUUUACUCUUCGUUUAUAUGGAUCUAUGUGUACAGUGACCGUGCCAGCCUUGUUGAACCGAGGACGAGUGAGGAUGCACCCGUUCAGGUUUUGGAUUCACCCACUGUCACCUAUCUGCUUCACCCUCUCUGCAGAUGUAACUGUGAACUGAACGGCAGAAAUGGACUUCCAUAGGCUAAAGGAUGGGAAUCAAAACCUAAUACUUCAUACUGUAGGAACCAGGAAUAUCUACAGCAAAUUCCAGUGCAAUAAUCUGGUCUGUAGUUUUCUUGCUUUUACAAAAAUUAAAUGUCAUUCACAUCAGUCCAUCAGCUGUGUUAAAGGCAAAUACUUACACCAUUUCUAACCCUUAUUAUUUUGGUCUGUCAUGAAUAUACCUACAUCCAGUCUUGGUGUACCUCUGUGUUUCCUGUCCAGUUGUGGUAAAUUUAAAGAUGAACAGACUGUCCUCCGGUGGACUCGCCGUAUGGCACCAGAUGGAGCUGUAAAAGAUUUGUACAACAGUAAAGUCUGUAUCGGCACUUUGUUAGGAUCAUUUAAUUCUCAGUUUUAAAAACUGUUUCAUGACAUUUUGGCGGUGACUCCUGUCCUGUCCUGAUCCAUCCUGCUCUCCAGACAGAUGUGGUGAUGUUUCACUGUGAAAGAACAUGUGUAGUGCACACACCUCUGUAGUGACCCCUCUGACUCUGAUCUGGUUUCAGCAGGUUUUAGAAUGAGACCAGGGCCCCAAGCAGCGACAGAGUCAGUCAUUGGAAACACACAGCACAACGUUAGAGGUGUUUUGUUUAAUCAUGUCAAACUAUGCAACAGGUAAUGUAAUUAAAGCAUCUUAACCUGUGUUCUCUUUGUGUCUCUGCUGUUUUUAUCCUCUCCUUGUUAAACUCUUCUCCUUUUCAUCUGGUCUUUAGACAGAAAAAACAUUAUACAUUGUGAAAUAUGUAAAUAAACUUCACUUCUGAUAAAAUGUGA